rnacentral:rRNA from 1 species
UACAUGGGGUGCAAACGUUGCUCGGAAUUAUUGGGCGUAAAGCGCGCGUAGGCGGUUACUUAUGUCGGAUGUGAAAGCCCUCGGCUUAACUGAGGAAGUGCAUUCGAAACUGGGUAGCUAGAGUACUAAAGAGGGUCGCGGAAUUCCCGGUGUAGAGGUGAAAUUCGUAGAUAUCGGGAGGAACACCGGUGGCGAAGGCGGCGACCUGGGUAGAUACUGACGCUGAGGCGCGAAAGCGUGGGGAGCGAACGGG